UACGAAGGGGGCUAGCGUUGCUCGGAAUUACUGGGCGUAAAGCGCACGUAGGCGGCUUUCUAAGUCGGGGGUGAAAUCCUGGAGCUCAACUCCAGAACUGCCUUUGAUACUGGCGAUCUUGAGUUCGGGAGAGGUAAGUGGAACUGCGAGUGUAGAGGUGAAAUUCGUAGAUAUUCGCAAGAACACCAGUGGCGAAGGCGGCUUACUGGUCCGGUUCUGACGCUGAGGCGCGAAAGCGUGGGGAGCAAACAGG
rnacentral:rRNA from 1 species